rnacentral:rRNA from 1 species
UACGUAGGGGGCAAGCGUUGUCCGGAAUCAUUGGGCGUAAAGAGCGUGUAGGCGGCCCGGUAAGUCCGCUGUGAAAGUCGGGGGCUCAACCCUCGAAUGCCGGUGGAUACUGUCGGGCUAGAGUGCGGAAGAGGCGAGUGGAAUUCCUGGUGUAGCGGUGAAAUGCGCAGAUAUCAGGAAGAACACCAAUGGCGAAAGCAGCUCUCUGGGACGGUACUGACGCUGAGACGCGAAAGCGUGGGGAGCGAACAGG